GACGAACCGUGCGAACGUUGUUCGGAAUCACUGGGCUUAAAGGGCGCGUAGGCGGGCUAUCAAGUCCGGGGUGAAAUCCUCCAGCUUAACUGGAGAACUGCCUCGGAUACUGAUGGUCUCGAGGAGGAUAGGGGCACACGGAACUGUGGGUGGAGCGGUGAAAUGCGUUGAUAUCCAUAGGAACUCCGGUGGCGAAAGCGGUGUGCUGGAUCCUUUCUGACGCUGAGGCGCGAAAGCCAGGGGAGCAAACAGG
rnacentral:rRNA from 1 species